GCUACAAAAAAUGUAUGAGGGGAGGAGAGAUACCCUGAGAGACCUGAAGUAAAAGUGCAGGAGACUGAGAGCCAAACGAGAGGAAGAGCUGCGCCCAGAGAAGCAGCUACGGAGAUGGAGGUAGAGAAGAAGAUGCAGAGCGGCAACGAGGUGAUCUCCAAAUCCCCUCGGGUAAGACAUCUGGCCGACACAUUCUGGAACGUAUUAUGGGCCUGUGCAGGACUGCAGGUUGGGGACUGACUUUUCUCUCUACCCCAUCAGAAUCACCUUUUGGGGUUCUCCGUGAAAGCACAGUAAGCGUGCAUGCUUCUACUCCUACUUUUUUUUUUUUUUUUUUUUGAACAAUUUGGCUGUCUAGACAGAUAAAAAACCACAGAGGGAAGGGCUGUGUAACCAAAGCUCAUUUAUUAAAAUAGGACAAGCACACAAAGAAUACGAAGUCUUUAGAG
rnacentral:lncRNA from 1 species